AGUGAACGCUGGCGGUAGGCCUAACACAUGCAAGUCGAACGGCAGCACAGUAAGAGCUUGCUCUUACGGGUGGCGAGUGGCGGACGGGUGAGGAAUACAUCGGAAUCUACUUUUUCGUGGGGGAUAACGUAGGGAAACUUACGCUAAUACCGCAUACGACCUACGGGUGAAAGCAGGGGAUCUUCGGACCUUGCGCGAUUGAAUGAGCCGAUGUCGGAUUAGCUAGUUGGCGGGGUAAAGGCCCACCAAGGCGACGAUCCGUAGCUGGUCUGAGAGGAUGGUCGGCCACACUGGAACUGAGACACGGUCCAGAGUCCUACGGGAGGCAGCAGUGGGGAAUAUUGGACAAUGGGCGCAAGCCUGAUCCAGCCAUACCGCGUGGGUGAAGAAGGCCUUCGGGUUGUAAAGCCCUUUUGUUGGGAAAGAAAAGCAGCAGGUUAAUACCCCGCUGUUCUGACGGUACCCAAAGAAUAAGCACCGGCUAACUUCGUG
rnacentral:rRNA from 1 species